UGGCAUAUCCACUUAAGACCUUACCUGACUUUACUCGUGGCCAGGCAAGUGGGACAGUGUAUGCAAGAAUAAUUGGGAGUUUAUGCCAGAUUCACCCAGCUUCAUCAGUGGCUGGAUAAAUAAACAGUACUCCAACAUUG
rfam:Erinaceus europaeus unplaced genomic scaffold scaffold00536, whole genome shotgun sequence